CGCUUCUUCCCCAAUCUCUCUCCCCCUCCGCCGCCACCCCCUCGUCUUGUCACUCCUCCUAGAUCGGCUCCUCUCUCGCUCCUCCAUGAUCCCCACCUAGAUUCGCUCCUCUCUCCCUCCUCUAUCCCCACCUAUAUUCACUCCUCUCUCCCUUCUCCUCGAUGCUGAUUUUUUAGAGCAAGCAGAUUGGAUCGAUGGUGACCGCAUGAGCGUGCCGCUGCCGCAUGGAAUCGCCUUGCCGCUGCGUGGAGUCGCUUUGUCGCCGCCGCCCGUUGCCACUUGCCAGCAUGGUAACUUCGUCCCAACCACUGCUCACCUCCAGGUCCUCUCGUGUUGCUGCUUGUCGUGGUCAUCUUGUCCGCUGGGCGCUUGCUUCCUACUGACAUACUACAUGUGUGCUUGCUGCUACCGUAGUACAUGCAUGCUUGUUGUUUCCGUAGUACAUAUGUGGUUGCUAGGUGAUGGGCUGCGUGCUUGCGUGAUUGAUUUCCUUCAUCUUGCAGGUGCACACAUGCACCUAACAUCCAGGGAAGUCCACCAUCUGAACCACCACGACCAUCCCUCUUGGCUAGCACAAGCAGCGCCAUCGGCACUUCGGAAGUGAAGGUAAGCAGCCAAGAACUGGAGAAAAUCCUGAAUUUGUUUGCUUUGCCCAGGUCUAUCUCAUGGACACCCAGGUUGAUAUACAGUUUUCUCAACACCCAGAUUUGUGGAGCAUGAUGUUGGACAAUUAGGAUGGGACUGCAUACCUUUAGAUUUUGGUGCUGAGAUUUGUGUGCCCCUCGCUACAUGUAAGCCACGUUUAUGAUGUUGAUCCUUCUGCUAUGGAUUGUAGUUUGGUUCCACUACUAGCGCCUUGAAGACUAAGGAUGGUGUUGUCCUGGCUGUGAGAAACGUAUCACCUCACCACUGCUGGUAUGAUUGCAUAGCGGGCUACUUGGUGCUGCCCAUCACAAUCUGCAUGACGUGAUAGAUAGCGUCCAUCAGGAGUGUCGAUGGCAAGAACAUGAAUAACUACUUCAAUAGUUUGAAUGUACAGUUUGUGUGAACUGGAUUGUACUAUUUCUUAAUUUUUUGAGUGAUAUUUUGUUAAGCUAUGUUGUAAAAUUACCAUUGUAUGGAGGUUUUUGUAAACUACUAUAUUGUAGAUACCUCUCGAUGGUUGAAUGAAACUUUGGAAAUACUUUUGUCUUG